GAAUGGAUUAAGAGCUUGCUCUUAUGAAGUUAGCGGCGGACGGGUGAGUAACACGUGGGUAACCUGCCCAUAAGACUGGGAUAACUCCGGGAAACCGGGGCUAAUACCGGAUAACAUUUUGAACCGCAUGGUUCGAAAUUGAAAGGCGGCUUCGGCUGUCACUUAUGGAUGGACCCGCGUCGCAUUAGCUAGUUGGUGAGGUAACGGCUCACCAAGGCAACGAUGCGUAGCCGACCUGAGAGGGUGAUCGGCCACACUGGGACUGAGACACGGCCCAGACUCCUACGGGAGGCAGCAGUAGGGAAUCUUCCGCAAUGGACGAAAGUCUGACGGAGCAACGCCGCGUGAGUGAUGAAGGCUUUCGGGUCGUAAAACUCUGUUGUUAGGGAAGAACAAGUGCUAGCUGAAUAAGCUGGCACCUUGACGGUACCUAACCAGAAAGCCACGGCUAACUACGUGCCAGCAGCCGCGGAUAAUACGUCAGGUGGCAAGCGUUAUCCGGAAUUAUUGGGCGUAAAGCGGCGCGCAAGGUGGUUCUCUUAAGUUCUAGAUUGUCGAAAGCCCCACGGCCUUCAACCGUGGAAAGGGUCAUUGGAAACUGGUGAGACUUGAGUGCAAGAAGAAGGAAAAGUGCAAUUCCCAUGUGUACGCGGUGAAAUGCGUAGAGAUAUGGAGGCAACACCAGUGGCGAAGGCGACUUUCUGGUCUUGUAACUGACCACGUGUGAGGCGCGAAAGCGUGGAGGAGCACACAGGAUUACGAUACGCUGGUAGUCAACGCCGUAAACGAUGACGUGCUAAGUGUUAGAGGGAUUCUGCCCUUUAGUGCUGAAGUUAACGCAUUAAGCCACUCCGCCUGGGGAGUACGGC
rnacentral:rRNA from 1 species